UGAGGAAUAUUGGGCAAUGCCCGAAAGGGUGACCCAGCAACGCCGCGUGGAGGAUGAAGGUCGUAAGAUUGUAAACUCCUGUUAGAGGGGAAGAAUAACUAAGUUUGGAGCUUAGUAUGACUGUACCCUCAGAGAAAGCCCCGGCUAACUACGUGCCAGCAGCCGCGGUAAUACGUAGGGGGCAAGCGUUGUCCGGAUUUACUGGGUGUAUAGGGCGCGCAGGCGGAAUGGAAAGUCAGUGGUGAAAUCCUACAGCUUAACUGUAGAACUGCCUUUGAUACUUUCAUUCUUGAGUUCGGGAGAGAGGGACGGAAUUCCAGGUGUAGGGGUGAAAUACGUAGAUAUCUGGAAGAACACCAGUUGCGAAGGCGGUCUCUUGGUCCGAUACUGACGCUGAGGCGCGAAAGCGUGGGGAGCAAACA
rnacentral:rRNA from 1 species